rnacentral:rRNA from 1 species
UACGAAGGGGGCUAGCGUUGUUCGGAAUUACUGGGCGUAAAGCGCACGUAGGCGGCUACUCAAGUCGGGGGUGAAAGCCCGGGGCUCAACCCCGGAACUGCCUUCGAAACUAGGUAGCUAGAAUCUUGGAGAGGCGAGUGGAAUUCCGAGUGUAGAGGUGAAAUUCGUAGAUAUUCGGAAGAACACCAGUGGCGAAGGCGACUCGCUGGACAAGUAUUGA